rnacentral:rRNA from 1 species
CUAGCGACUUCAGAGUUUGAUCCUGGCUCAGGACGAACGCUGGCGGCGUGCUUAACACAUGCAAGUCGAACGAAGCAUUCUGAAGUGCUUGCACCGAGGAAUGACUUAGUGGCGGACGGGUGAGUAACGCGUGAGGAACCUGCCUGUAUCAGGGGGACAACAGUUAGAAAUGACUGCUAAUACCGCAUAAGACCACGAGAUGGCAUCAUCUAGUGGUAAAAGAGAUAUGUAUCGGAUACAGAUGGCCUCGCGUCCUAUUAGUUAGUUGGUGGGGUAACGGCCUACCAAGACCGCGAUAGGUAGCCGACCUGAGAGGGUGAUCGGCCACACUGGAACUGAGAAACGGACCAG